rnacentral:rRNA from 1 species
UACGUAGGGGGCAAGCGUUGUCCGGAAUCAUUGGGCGUAAAGCGCGUGUAGGCGGCCCACUAAGUCCGCUCUGAAAAGCCCGGGGCUCAACCCCGGGAGGCGGGUGGAUACUGGUGGGCUCGAGUCCGGAAGAGGUCAGUGGAAUUCCCGGUGUAGCGGUGAAAUGCGCAGAUAUCGGGAGGAACACCAAUGGCGAAGGCAGCUGACUGGGACGUGACUGACGCUGAGACGCGAAAGCGUGGGGAGCAAACAGG